rnacentral:lncRNA from 1 species
UUUGAGUAAUGAAUAAAAAUAAUACACACGUUAAAUUUACUUUCUCCUCCUUCACGAAACAUGUUCUCUAAUAAUUGACUACUCCCUGCAUUAGGUGAAUCGACAAAACAUGGUGCACAAAAAUAUCAUAACUGGUCAGUUGAGAAGAGCAAUCACCAGAUAAAGUUUUUCUUGCCAAGCAGCGUUGGAGAACUACCAUGUAAUUCUGCUCUCAGAACGCAC